rnacentral:lncRNA from 1 species
ACAGUUUGUUUCUGUCUCUUAAGUGAUGUGUGAGGACAGAUUGCCCUCAGCUUUAAGGGCAAUUCAGGAUGAUCUGUCUUAAAAUCGAUGCUCUGAGGAAUGAGAAAAAUGCUCUCUGCAGGGCAUGCCCACUCCAUGUGCUGGGAGGCUCUCCUACAUCAAAUGGGCAGAUGCGCAUCCCCACAGAGGCCCCAAGCCUCGCUGUGAGCCAGGGCUGCUUCAAACAUGUCAGCUAUCUAAGGUCCAGCAUCUUCCAGUGACUCUGCAGGCAGAGGUGGGCCCCCGUGCUGGAUGGCGGGAGGUUCCACAUCAUUACUUGGCCCUGAGAGCUGAGCUGUAGCCUCCUGGUCUGGAGGCUGUAGCCUGCAUGUCUGGAGGCUUAACAGAGACAUUGAGCAAAUCUGAAUGCUGAGUUUGAUGGUAACCUGGAGGUGAAACGGUGACUUCAUGAUGUUCUGGAGGCUGAGCUGGGGUCUCCUGCUGGGCUGGAGAAGAUUCAACCUCCCCAGAAGACUCAGAAGGCUGAGCUAGCUGCUCCUGCUCACUGGGGGAAAGUUCAGGCUCUACAGGAGGACCUGGAGGCUCAGCUGGGGCCUCCUCUUGGUUUGCAGAAGGUUCCAUUUCUUCUGGAGGCUGAGCUGGGGUCUCCUGCUGGGUCUGAGAAGAUUCAACCUCCCCAGAAGACUCAGAAGGCUGAGCUGGCUGCUCCUGCUCACUAAUGGAAAGUUCACGCUCCAUAGGAUGACAUGGAGGCUCAGUUGGGGCCUCCUGUUGGGUUGCAGAAGGUUCCACCUCCUCUGAAAACUGAACUGGGGCCUCCUGCUGGGCUUGGGAAGAUUCUGUCUCAUUAGUAGGCUCCGAAGUUAUGGUAACCUCCACAUCUGCAGGUUUAACUCUGAUGUUGGCCAAGUUAUAAUGAGCUUGAUCCUCACCUGGAGGUUGAACUGUCACCUCAUGAUUUG